UUUUUUUAAUUUCAAGAAAGGCCAUUUGUUUAAUUUUUAAUACCUACUGUCUCGUAUCAUUAAAUCGAAAAUCAAUAAUAUGUCAAACCCUAGAUUAUGUUGUCCGUCCCAAAUUUUCAUAAAACGAGUAAAAACUCAAAAAUCACUUCGGUACCUUAUUUUUCCUGUUUAACGUGCACAUGCCUAUUUUCGAACGCAUUAAUUCACCAUUAUAC